rnacentral:rRNA from 1 species
UUAGAGUUUGAUCCUGGCUCAGGACGAACGCUGGCGGCGUGCCUAACACAUGCAAGUCGAGCGAAUGAAGUUCCUUCGGGAGCGGAUUUAGCGGCGGACGGGUGAGUAACACGUGGGCAACCUGCCUCAUAGAGGGGAAUAGCCUUCCGAAAGGGAGAUUAAUACCGCAUAAGAUUGUAGUACCGCAUGGUACAGCAAUUAAAGGAGCAAUCCGCUAUGAGAUGGACCCGCGUCGCAUUAGCUAGUUGGUGAGGUAACGGCUCACCAAGGCGACGAUGCGUAGCCGACCUGAGAGGGUGAUCGGCCACAUUGGGACUGAGACACGGCCCAGACUCCUACGGGAGGCAGCAGUGGGGAAUAUUGCACAAUGGGGGAAACCCUGAUGCAGCAACGCCGCGUGAGUGAUGACGAUCUUCGGAUUGUAAAGCUCUGUCUUUAGGGACGAUAAUGACGGUACCUAAGGAGGAAGCCACGGCUAACUACGUGCCAGCAGCCGCGGUAAUACGUAGGUGGCAAGCGUUGUCCGGAUUUACUGGGCGUAAAGGGAGCGUAGGUGGAUAUUUAAGUGGGAUGUGAAAUACCCGGGCUUAACCUGGGUGCUGCAUUCCAAACUGGAUAUCUAGAGUGCAGGAGAGGAAAGGAGAAUUCCUAGUGUAGCGGUGAAAUGCGUAGAGAUUAGGAAGAAUACCAGUGGCGAAGGCGCCUUUCUGGACUGUAACUGACACUGAGGCUCGAAAGCGUGGGGAGCAAACAGGAUUAGAUACCCUGGUAGUCCACACUGUAAACGAUGAUAACUCGCUGUCGGCGAUACACAGUCGGUGGCCAAGCGAAAGCAUUAAGUUAUCCACCUGGGGAGUACGACCGCAAGGUUGAAACUCAAAGGAAUUGACGGGGGCCCGCACAAGCGGAGGAACAUGUGGUUUAAUUCGAUGAUACGCGAGGAACCUUACCUGGGCUUAAAUGGGAAGUGACAGUUUUGGAAACAAAAUUUUCUUCGGACACUUUUCAAGGUGCUGCAUGGUUGUCGUCAGCUCGUGCCGUGAGGUGUCGGGUUAAGUCCCAUAACGAGCGCAACCCUCGUCGAUAGUUGCCAGCAUGUAAUGAUGGGGACUCUAUCGAGACUGCCGGUGUAAACCGUGAGGAAGGUGGGGAGGACGUCAAAUCAGCACGGCCCUUACGUCCAGGGCUACACACGUGUUACAAUGGUCGGUACAAUGGGCAGCUACUCAGCGAUGAGAUGCUAAUCUUCAAAACCGAUCUCAGUUCGGAUCGGAGUCUGCAACUCGACUCCGUGAAGCUGGAUUCGCUAGUAAUCGCAUAUCAGCUACGGCGCGGUGAAUACGUUCCCGGGC